GUGUGGUCUUCCGAUCUGCACCAUCUCCAGACUCUCAGAUACAGUCAGUCUUCAGUGGAGACCCAUGGACUCAUCCCAGCAGAACAGGAGCAACACUGAUUACAUCCGCCUGGAUAACACGGUCUAUCUGAUGGUUCAACACGUUACAGUGGAGGAUGGGAAGCUGUAUGUGUGUGAAG